CUAUUAUUUUGAGUGUUAAUUUUGCUUACCUGGGUACUAUUAGUUAAGAUCUUUAAACCCAAAGAAUUUGGCGGUACCUUAUUCCAUUCAGAGGAACCUACCCCGUAAUUGAUAAUACACGAUUGACUUUACUUAAUUUAUUUGUUUGUAUAUCUCCGUUAUCAGAAAAUCUUAUUGGAGUUAUAAUUUUCUUGAUUUAUAAUUAUAAAAUAUUUCAGGUCAAGGUGCAGCUUAUAAUUAAGAGGAGGUGGGUUACAAUAAAUUUUUGUUUAUUAUGGAUUUAAUGGUGAAAUACUAUUAAUGAAGGUGGAUUUGAUAGUAAUUUAAUUUAUUUAAUUUAAUUGAUAUUGGCUCUAAGGUGUGUACACAUCGCCCC
rnacentral:rRNA from 1 species